rnacentral:rRNA from 1 species
UACGUAGGGUGCGAGCGUUGUCCGGAAUUAUUGGGCGUAAAGAGCUCGUAGGCGGUGUGUCACGUCGAUCGUGAAAACUUGGGGCUUAACUCUGAGCUUGCGGUCGAUACGGGCAUCACUGGAGUUCGGCAGGGGAGACUGGAAUUCCUGGUGUAGCGGUGAAAUGCGCAGAUAUCAGGAGGAAUACCGAUGGCGAAGGCAGGUCUCUGGGCUAGAACUGACGCUCAUGCACGAAAGCGUGGGGAGCAAACAGG